GGUAGAGUAUGCCAGCGGUGGAUCUCUCUUCGACUAUCUGUCCAGUGCCGAGAGUGAAGACAUCAGUAUGAAGCAGAUUAUGACCUGGGCAAUGGACAUUGCUAAAGGCAUGCAUUAUCUGCACGCUGAGGCCCCGUUUACAGUCAUUCACAGAGACCUCAAGUCCCGAAAUGUUGUGUUGACAGCAGAUGCAGUACCCAAGAUCUGUGAUUUCGGGGCGUCUAAGUUUCAUUCUCACACCACCCACAUGUCUCUGGUGGGCACGUU